AGAGUUUGAUCCUGGCUCAGGAUGAACGCUGGCGGUAUGCUUAACACAUGCAAGUCGAACGGGAUCUUAGGAUCUAGUGGCGGACGGGUGAGUAACGCGUGAGAAUCUGGCUUCAGGUCGGGGACAACAGUUGGAAACGACUGCUAAUACCGGAUGUGCCGAAAGGUGAAAGAUUUAUUGCCUGAAGAUGAGCUCGCGUCUGAUUAGCUAGUUGGUGGUGUAAGAGACUACCAAGGCGACGAUCAGUAGCUGGUCUGAGAGGAUGAUCAGCCACACUGGGACUGAGACACGGCCCAGACUCCUACGGGAGGCAGCAGUGGGGAAUUUUCCGCAAUGGGCGAAAGCCUGACGGAGCAAUACCGCGUGAGGGAGGAAGGCUCUUGGGUCGUAAACCUCUUUUCUCAGGGAGGAAAAAAAUGACGGUACCUGAGGAAUAAGCAUCGGCUAACUCCGUGCCAGCAGCCGCGGUAAUACGGAGGAUGCAAGCGUUAUCCGGAAUGAUUGGGCGUAAAGGGUCCGCAGGUGGAACUGAAAGUCUGCUGUUAAAGAAUCUGGCUCAACCAGAUAAAAGCAGUGGGAACUACAGAACUAGAGUACGUUCGGGGCAGAAGGAAUUCCUAGUGUAGCGGUGAAAUGCGUAGAUAUUAGGAAGAACACCGGUGGCGAAAGCGUUCUGCUAGGCCGUAACUGACACUGAGGGACGAAAGCUAGGGGAGCGAAUGGGAUUAGAUACCCCAGUAGUCCUAGCUGUAAACGAUGGAUACUAGGCGUGGCUUGUAUCGACCCGAGCCGUGCCGUAGCUAACGCGUUAAGUAUCCCGCCUGGGGAGUACGCACGCAAGUGUGAAACUCAAAGGAAUUGACGGGGGCCCGCACAAGCGGUGGAGUAUGUGGUUUAGUUCGAUGCAACGCGAAGAACCUUACCAAGGCUUGACAUCCUGCGAAUCUUUCUGAAAGGAGAGAGUGCCUUCGGGAGCGCAGAGACAGGUGGUGCAUGGCUGUCGUCAGCUCGUGUCGUGAGAUGUUGGGUUAAGUCCCGCAACGAGCGCAACCCUCGUUUUUAGUUGCCAGCAUUAAGUUGGGCACUCUAGAGAGACUGCCGGUGACAAACCGGAGGAAGGUGAGGAUGACGUCAAGUCAGCAUGCCCCCUACGCCUUGGGCUACACACGUACUACAAUGCUACGGACAAAGGGCAGCUACACAGCGAUGUGAUGCAAAUCUCAUAAACCGUAGCUCAGUUCAGAUCGAAGGCUGCAACUCGCCUUCGUGAAGGAGGAAUCGCUAGUAAUUGCAGGUCAGCAUACUGCAGUGAAUUCGUUCCCGGGCCUUGUACACACCGCCCGUCACACCAUGGAAGUUGGUCACGCCCGAAGUCAUUACCCCAACCGAAAGGAGGGGGAUGCCGAAGGUAGGACUGGUGACUGGGGUGAAGUCGUAACAAGGUA
rnacentral:rRNA from 1 species